rnacentral:rRNA from 1 species
ACGCUCGACACCUACGGAGGCAGCAGUAGGGAAUCUUCCACAAUGGGCGCAAGCCUGAUGGAGCAACACCGCGUGAGUGAAGAAGGGUUUCGGCUCGUAAAGCUCUGUUGUUGGAGAAGAAUGUGCGUGAGAGUAACUGUUCACGCAGUGACGGUAUCCAACCAGAAAGUCACGGCUAACUACGUGUCAGCAGCCGCGGUAAUCUGAGCGGGCUGGCAAGGC